UGGGGGAAUUUUGGACAAUGGGCGAAAGCCUGAUCCAGCAAUGCCGCGUGUGUGAAGAAGGCCUUCGGGUUGUAAAGCACUUUUGUCCGGAAAGAAAUCCUUGGCUCUAAUACAGUCGGGGGAUGACGGUACCGGAAGAAUAAGCACCGGCUAACUACGUGCCAGCAGCCGCGGUAAUACGUAGGGUGCAAGCGUUAAUCGGAAUUACUGGGCGUAAAGCGUGCGCAGGCGGUUUGCUAAGACCGAUGUGAAAUCCCCGGGCUCAACCUGGGAACUGCAUUGGUGACUGGCAGGCUAGAGUAUGGCAGAGGGGGGUAGAAUUCCACGUGUAGCAGUGAAAUGCGUAGAGAUGUGGAGGAAUACCGAUGGCGAAGGCAGCCCCUUGGGCCAAUACUGACGCUCAUGCACGAAAGCGUGGGGGAGCAAACAGGAUUAGAUACCCUGGUAGUCCACGCCCUAAACGAUGUCAACUAGUUGUUGGGGAUUCAUUUCCUUAGUAACGUAGCUAACGCGUGAAGUUGACCGCCUGGGGGAGUACGGUCGCAAGAUUAAAACUCAAAGGAAUUGACGGGGUCAUAGCUGUUUCCU
rnacentral:rRNA from 1 species